rnacentral:rRNA from 1 species
GACGUAGGAUCCGAGCGUUGUCCGGAGUUACUGGGCGUAAAGCGUGUGUAGGCGGUCCCGCAAGUCGGAUGUGAAAGCCCCGGGCUCAACCCGGGAAGUGCACCCGAUACUGCGAGACUCGAGUACCGGAGAGGUUGGUGGAAUUCUCGGUGUAGAGGUGAAAUUCGUAGAUAUCGAGAGGAACACCGUGUGGCGAAGGCGGCCAACUGGACGGAUACUGACGCUGAGACACGAAAGCGUGGGGAGCAAACAGG